rnacentral:rRNA from 1 species
AUUGAACGCUAGCGGGAUGCUUUACACAUGCAAGUCGAACGGCAGCGCGGACUUCGGUCUGGCGACGAGUGGCGAACGGGUGAGUAAUGUAUCGGAACGUGCCCAGUAGCGGGGGAUAACUACGCGAAAGCGUAGCUAAUACCGCAUACGCCCUACGGGGGAAAGCAGGGGAUCGUAAGACCUUGCACUAUUGGAGCGGCCGAUAUCGGAUUAGCUAGUUGGUGAGGUAACGGCUCACCAAGGCGACGAUCCGUAGCUGGUUUGAGAGGACGACCAGCCACACUGGGACUGAGACACGGCCCAGACUCCUACGGGAGGCAGCAGUGGGGAAUUUUGGACAAUGGGGGCAACCCUGAUCCAGCCAUCCCGCGUGUGCGAUGAAGGCCUUCGGGUUGUAAAGCACUUUUGGCAGGAAAGAAACGUCGCGGGCUAAUACCCCGUGGAACUGACGGUACCUGCAGAAUAAGCACCGGCUAACUACGUG